rnacentral:lncRNA from 1 species
GAACAAAGGAAGGAGGAAGUAACUUGUGGAGUGCUGAGAAAGGUGAUCAGAAGAGCCAUCACUGAAGAUGACAACUGAGCAAAGACCCAAAGGAGGUGAAGAGUGAACUACGGAGGAAGCACCUUCCUGGCAGAGAACAGCAAGUGCAAAGGCCCUGGGCAGGGAGGAUGACUGGGGAUCAUUCAAGCAAGAGCAAAGAGGCCAAUGUGGAAGGAACAGAGUCAGCAAGAAGGAGUGUAAAAGGAGGGAACAGAAUUCCACAACUUCCCACGAAGCCAAUCCAGCUGCAGCAUCUUAGCAAGGACAGUCACCACCACAGCGGCAGCAGCAGCAGCUAACAGAUGCUGGGGCUCUGCGCAGGCAUGCUAAGACCUUCAGCGCAUUAUAUCUUGGCAUGUUCUCAUUAAUCCUAUGAGGUGGGUGUGUGUUAUCAACAUUCACAUCUCACAGGUGUGGGAGCCAAAGCUUCAGAGGGGUAACACGGUUAAUGGUGUGAUCCCACCCAAGUUAAGGGGAAAGCCAGGAUUUAAAACUGGGUAGACAAACUUUGGAGCCCCAGGCUCUAAAUUUACCCCUACCAGUCUCUUCAAACUUGGGUCAGGAUCCAUUCUUAGUCAUGAGAUCCACUACUAAUGAGUCACAGCCUAUCUUUUUCAAAAUGAAAUAAAAUAGAAAAUAUCGG